AGCAGCAGCAUAUCACCCUGCAACUCACAACUGGCAACCCACUGAAGCUAAGCAGGUGUGAGCCUGGUCAGUACCUGGAUGGGAGGCCUCCUGGGAAAAACUAAGGUUGCUGCUGGAA
ensembl:rRNA 5S_rRNA 5S ribosomal RNA